rnacentral:rRNA from 1 species
GACGAACGCUGGCGGCGUGCUUAACACAUGCAAGUCGAGCGGUAAAGGCCCUUUCGGGGGUACGACGAGCGGCGAACGGGUGAGUAACACGUGGGUGACCUGCCCUCAGCUCUGGGAUAAGGCCUGGGAAACUGGGUCUAAUACCGGAUAUGACUCCAUGACGCAUGUUGUGGGGUGGAAAGCCUUGUGCGGCUGAGGAUGGGCCCGCGGCCUAUCAGCUU